UUUCUAACAUUUUCCACGGAAACUACUGAGCCAAGUUCAUUAUAGAUAGAGAUAAUUGUAAGCAGCAAGAAUGUUUAGUAAAGUAAGAUGUACAAACACAUCAUCAUCACCAAAACAUAAUUUUGUCAUGAAUCCAUCUGCUUCCUUUAUUUAAUAUUCACAUAGACCAAGGUGAGCGACACAGGCUCUUUAGAGCCUCUAGUU
rnacentral:lncRNA from 1 species